GCCAAUAGCAGUUAAAAAGCUAUGAAGACACUUACAAAUUGCUUUAUUUAGACCAGAUUGUUUUUGAAUUAACAACCAUAUCUCUGUGUGACUAAUUCCUAUUAAGCCUAUAUUUACAAAGGAUUCUGGAUCUUCCUUUUUCCAUUCCAUCCUGUAGGUAUUUGUUCUCUUUAUGAUUCGAGUUCAAUUACACACAACCAAAUUCUGAUCAAUUGUCUAAUUUACCUUGAGCAUAGUGAAUUUAAACACUGUCCCCAACAAUUACCUAGCUGGCAAGAUCUGGAAAAAGAAUUUGGAGCCAGAAACUACUAGGAGAAAGAUUUCCUUUAAUGAUGUCUCUGUACCUUCUAGUGGUUUUCAAAUAUUCUACUAAUGGAAGAGAGAUUAUCAUAAUGACAUCCCAUGGAAUUUUAAAUAUUCAAAAUGGCCUUGUCUAAACAGAAUUUUAGACAAUAUCCGUUUUUCUAACACCUUCUCUGUCUUUCCAUUGCUUAGAAUUUGUAGCUCCCUGCCCUGUAUUCCAAACUUUCAUCAUAAAUCUGCCUCCUUCUCUCAACCAUACAAAGCCUGUUUUAAAAACAAAACAAAACAAAAAAAACAACUCUGUUCCAGAAGGCUCCUGCCAAAAGCUCGUCUAGCAAGUUAGGCUCAUUCUUAACCCAGGGCUUUCUUCAAUCAGUUUCUAUACCUGAUGUUUUCUUCCCUGCUCAUCUACCCAAGCUCUGUUUGCUCUCCUUCCAUAGUCCACCUAGAUUCUUCCUCUUCCAUGAAGAUUUCCCACCAAUAGUGAGCUCUCCUUCCCCAAGGGCACCAUAGUGCUUACCACACGGUGCCAUCCACAGACCAGCAACAAUGGCAUCAUCUGGAAGCUGGUUAGAAAUGCAGAAUCUCAGGUUCCACUUCAAACUACCAGUAGCAACUGCAUUGGUGGCAAGAUCCAUAGGGGAAUUGUAUUCACAUUAAAGUUUGGAAGACCCCAUUAUUAUUCUAAUCUGAGCGUCUUUCCCUUCUUCUAUGCAGCCUUAGUGACAUCUCUUACUUCAUUGCAUUGAACUGUUCAUUUGUGAAAGCAAGUUUUUGAGUCCAUUAACAAAUGUAACUUGAACAUCUGUGUUCAAGAAGUUAAAAUCUGACACAAAAUUUCUCUUGCUGGAAAACAUCUAAGAGGACACUUCAUAUGCAUUUAAACUGCCCCUCCAGAAAGAAGAGGCAGAAAAGCCAUUUCCCCUCUCUGGGCCAUUGGCAGAGUCAAAUGGGCUAGACAAGGAAGGCCCACAGCAGGACCCUGAAAGUUUGGGGGUAUGAGCACCUAGGGGCUCAAUUCCCCAGCAAAACAUUGACCAACAGCACAUUCAACAGCAGAGUUCUGCACCUCGAAGGGUUGUCCUCCAUCCUCCAGAUUUGGAUUAUCUGAAGUUAUAGGAGUCAUGACCUUGAGAUAAAGGAACAGAGAUUCACAAAGGAAGACUGAUAUUCCUUAAGGUCUCAGAGGAAGUGUGAAAAGCUUGAUCAUUUGACAAAAGCCAAAGACACUCUUGAGGGAGCUGAGCAGAGGGGAGGGAUGAUAGUGGAGCAGAAUGACCUAGGCAGCAAUACUCAAGGUUACCUGCCCCGGGUCCCUGUGUGUGUGUGUGUGUGUGUACACUUAUUUCAAUUUUCAAUAUCGAAUGUGGAAAUAAUUUCCAACAGGAAAGCUGUAAGAAUGUCACCUAUUGUUAAUGUGUUCUCCCCAUCUACCUUACCUGUUGCUUUCUCUUCUUUCCUUUUUCCCUUCAUCCCUCUGUCUUUUGUCCUAUAUUCUGUCUCUGUGUUGUAUUUAAUUAUUUUUAACCAUUUGAAAGUAAGUUGCACACAUCAUAUUCUUUCACCCCUCUAUAUGUCAGUGUGUAUUUCUGGGAAUAGGGACAUUCCCUUAAAUAACCAUAGCUAUAGCUUGAAACCUCCUAAUUUCCACAGCUUUCUCAUGGUGACAACAUCCAUCUUGGCACCAUUUCACCAUUAAGAUGGCCACUUCCCAGUUGAUUAAUAUCUUCAGAGCUAUUCUCCUGCUCUCACCCAUAAGUAUUUUUUCAGUGUGAUUUACUGUUGUGAGUAAAACCUUCAAUAUCACACCAAGUUUUUCCUAUAAGCUCUUGGCUCUGCUCCGCUGUUUCAUUAUCCCCUCUACCAGACUAUUCCUAAUAACUGGGCUGUGGUAAUGCAGAGAAUGGGGAGUGGUCACUAAAAGUUCCUACUUCCUGGGGUCAGCCGAAGCAUUUGGUCUGAAGUUCAUCUCAUUAUCCUCAGAGAAAAAUCAAAUAAUAUAUUUGAGGGGAAAAAAAUGAAAUCACUUUUAUUAUGGGCUGUGUCAGGCUUUUGGCUGCAGUUUCAGAUUACUGUCCCUUAACAACUGCAAGAGAUGAAGAACAGAACCAGAAAUGGAAAAAGUCACACGCUGAAAUAUGCAAGCAACUGGAUUGAUUUCAUAAAUUAAAGUAUUAAGUCUCAGCCUUUCAAUUUAUGAAAAUAGCAUUUCUCACUUUAUAUGUCCUUUUGAAAAAUAUAGUUGACUUGGGCCAUAACAUACACUUCCAAAAGAGAUAACGU
rnacentral:lncRNA from 1 species